rnacentral:rRNA from 1 species
GUGGAGCGACGAACCGGGGCUUGCCCCGGGGCAAAGCCGCGAACGGGUGAGUAACACGUGGGUAACCUGCCCUGUUGACUGGGACAACCCGAGGAAACUCGGGCUAAUACCAGAUGUGCUCCCGCCACAUCAGUGGCGUGAGGAAAGGAAGCUUCGGCCUCCGCAACGGGAUGGGCCCGCGGCCCAUUAGCUUGUUGGUGGGGUAACGGCCCACCAAGGCUGCNAUGGGUAGCUGGUCUGANAGGACNAUCANCCACACUGGGACUGANACACGGCCCANACUCCUACGGGAGGCAGCAGUGGGGAAUCUUGCGCAAUGCGCNAAAGCGUGACGCANCAACGCCGCGUGAGGGAAGACGGCCUUCGGGUUGUAAACCUCUUUCANUUGGGACGAAGCCUCGUCGGUUAAUAGCCGGCCGAGGUGACGGUACCUUCANAAGAAGCCCCGGCUAACUACGUGCCANCAGCCGCGGUAAUACGUAGGGGGCAAGCGUUGUCCGGAAUCAUUGGGCGUAAAGCGCGUGUAGGCGGCUUGGUAAGUCCNCUCUGAAAGCCCGGGGCUCAACCCCGGGAGGCGGGUGGAUACUGUCAAGCUCNANUCCGGAAGAGGCGAGUGGAAUUCCCGGUGUAGCG